rnacentral:rRNA from 1 species
GACGAACGCUGGCGGCGUGCUUAACACAUGCAAGUCGAACGGAAAGGCCCUGCUUUUGUGGGGUGCUCGAGUGGCGAACGGGUGAGUAACACGUGAGUAACCUGCCCUUGACUUUGGGAUAACUUCAGGAAACUGGGGCUAAUACCGGAUAGGAGCUCCUGCUGCAUGGUGGGGGUUGGAAAGUUUCGGCGGUUGGGGUUGGACUCGCGGCUUAUCAGCUUGUUGGUGGGGUAGUGGCUUACCAAGGCUUUGACGGGUAGCCGGCCUGAGAGGGUGACCGGCAACAUUGGGACUGAGAUACGGCCCAGGCUCCUACGGGAGGCAGCAGUGGGGAAGAUUGCACAAUGGGCGGAAGCCUGAGGCAGCAACGCCGCGUGCGGGAUGACGGCCUUCGGGUUGUAAACCGCUUUCGCCUGUGACGAAGCGUGAGUGACGGUAAUGGGUAAAGAAGCACCGGCUAACUACGU